UUAAAUUUUAUUUAUUAAUUUAAUUUUUUUAGAUUUAAAGUAUUAAAAAUAAUUAUAUAAAAAAAAGUUUUAGUAUUGUUUAAAGAAAAAAUAAAUUUAAUAAUAGUUUAAUAGUAUUGUAAAAGAAAAUUGAAAUAAUUUGAAAAAUUUUUAUUUUAAAAGAAAAUUUAAUUUAUUGUACCUUGUGUAUCAGUGUUUAUUAAAUAAAAAAUAUUUAAUUAUUUUUCUCGAUUUUAAAAGAGUUAGUGUGAUAUUAAAGUUAAUGUAAUAAAAUUAUUUUAAAUAUUAUACUAGAAAUGAAAUGUUAUUCGUUUUUAAAGGUAUCUAGUUUUUCAAGAAAUGAAUUAAAUUUAGAAAUUAUAAAUUUAUUAAAUUUUUUAAAAAAUUUAAUAAUUUAUAAUUUUAAUAUUUUAUGGGAUAAGCUAUAAAAUAAAUUUUUAAAAAUAAUAAAUAAAUUUAAUAAAUAUAUGUUUAGAAUUAGCAAUUGUUUAUAAAUAUGUUAUAAUUUAUUUUAUAAAUGAAAUUAUUUAUUAAAUUUUAAAUAUUUAUUGAAAUAUUAAUUUUAAUUUUUAAAAUUAAGUAAUAAUGAUAAAAUUAGUAUAUUGUAUUGUAGAAAUAAAUUUAAAUGGAAAGUUUAUGUAAAG
rnacentral:rRNA from 1 species